GACGAACGCUGGCGGCGUGCUUAACACAUGCAAGUCGAACGCUGAAGACCUGGCUUUUGUUGGGUUGGAUGAGUGGCGAACGGGUGAGUAACACGUGAGUAACCUGCCCUCUUCUUUGGGAUAACGCCCGGAAACGGGUGCUAAUACUGGAUAUUCACUGAUCUUCGCAUGGGGGUUGGUGGAAAGGUUUGUUCUGGUGGGGGAUGGGCUCGCGGCCUAUCAGCUUGUUGGUGGGGUGAUGGCCUACCAAGGCUUUGACGGGUAGCCGGCCUGAGAGGGUGACCGGUAACAUUGGGACUGAGAUACGGCCCAGACUCCUACGGGAGGCAGCAGUGGGGAAUAUUGCACAAUGGGCGAAAGCCUGAUGCAGCGACGGCGCGUGAGGGAUGGAGGCCUUCGGGUUGUAAACCUCUUUCGCUCAUGGUCAAGCCGCAACUGUGGGUUGUGGUGAGGGUAGUGGGUAAAGAAGCGCCGGCUAACUACGUG
rnacentral:rRNA from 1 species